AGUUCAGGGCCCCUCCUGCGGCCCAAGAACCGCUGACUCCCAAGCUCAGAGCGUGAGUUCGAUUCUCGUCACCUGCUCCA
rnacentral:tRNA from 1 species